rnacentral:rRNA from 1 species
GGGAGCGUAUCGGAUAUGGGCGUAAGCGCGCGCAGGCGGUCCUUUAAGUCUGAUGUGAAAGCCCACGGCUCAACCGUGGAGGGUCAUUGGAAACUGGGGGACUUGAGUGCAGAAGAGGAGAGCGGAAUUCCACGUGUAGCGGUGAAAUGCGUAGAGAUGUGGAGGAACACCAGUGGCGAAGGCGGCUCUCUGGUCUGUAACUGACGCUGAGGCGCGAAAGCGUGGGGAGCGAACAGGAUUAGAUACCCUGGUAGUCCACGCCGUAAACGAUGAGUGCUAAGUGUUAGAGGGUUUCCGCCCUUUAGUGCUGCAGCAAACGCAUUAAGCACUCCGCCUGGGGAGUACGGUCGCAAGACUGAAACUCAAAGGAAUUGACGGGGGCCCGCACAAGCGGUGGAGCAUGUGGUUUAAUUCGAAGCAACGCGAAGAACCUUACCAGGUCUUGACAUCCCGUGACAACUCUAGAGAUAGGGCUUUCCCCUUCGGGGAACACGGUGACAGGUGGUGCAUGGUUGUCGUCAGCUCGUGUCGUGAGAUGUUGGGUUAAGUCCCGCAACGAGCGCAACCCUUGAUCUUAGUUGCCAGCAUUCAGUUGGGCACUCUAAGGUGACUGCCGGUGACAAACCGGAGGAAGGUGGGGAUGACGUCAAAUCAUCAUGCCCCUUAUGACCUGGGCUACACACGUGCUACAAUGGAUGGUACAAAGGGCAGCGAAACCGCGAGGUUAAGCCAAUCCCAUAAAACCAUUCUCAGUUCGGAUUGCAGGCUGCAACUCGCCUGCAUGAAGCCGGAAUCGCUAGUAAUGCAAGUCGAGCGAACUUUUGGGAGCUUGCUCCCAAAAGUUAGCGGCGGACGGGUGAGUAACACGUGGGCAACCUGCCUAUAAGACUGGGAUAACUUCGGGAAACCGGAGCUAAUACCGGAUAACAUAUGAGACCACAUGGUCUCAUAUUGAAAGAUGGCUUUUAGCUAUCACUUAUAGAUGGGCCCGCGGCGCAUUAGCUAGUUGGUGAGGUAAUGGCUCACCAAGGCGACGAUGCGUAGCCGACCUGAGAGGGUGAUCGGCCACACUGGGACUGAGACACGGCCCAGACUCCUACGGGAGGCAGCAGUAGGGAAUCUUCCGCAAUGGACGAAAGUCUGACGGAGCAACGCCGCGUGAGCGAAGAAGGUCUUCGGAUCGUAAAGCUCUGUUGUUAGGGAAGAACAAGUACCGUUCGAAUAGGGCGGUACCUUGACGGUACCUAACCAGAAAGCCACGGCUAACUACGUGCCAGCAGCCGCGGUAAUACGUAGGUGGCAAGCGUUAUCCGGAAUUAUUGGGCGUAAAGCGCGCGCAGGCGGUCCUUUAAGUCUGAUGUGAAAGCCCACGGCUCAACCGUGGAGGGUCAUUGGAAACUGGGGGACUUGAGUGCAGAAGAGGAGAGCGGAAUUCCACGUGUAGCGGUGAAAUGCGUAGAGAUGUGGAGGAACACCAGUGGCGAAGGCGGCUCUCUGUCGUAACGACGCGAGCGAAAAGGGCAA